CAGCAGCCGCGGUAAUACGUAGGGUCCGAGCGUUGUCCGGAAUUACUGGGCGUAAAGAGCUCGUAGGUGGUUUGUCGCGUUGUUCGUGAAAACUCACAGCUCAACUGUGGGCGUGCGGGCGAUACGGGCAGACUAGAGUACUGCAGGGGAGACUGGAAUUCCUGGUGUAGCGGUGGAAUGCGCAGAUAUCAGGAGGAACACCGGUGGCGAAGGCGGGUCUCUGGGCAGUAACUGACGCCGAGGAGCGAAAGCGUGGGGAGCGAAUAGGAUUAGAUACCCCAGUAGUCCCUGUCUCUUAUAC
rnacentral:rRNA from 1 species